GCUGGCAGCUAGCUUUCUGCAACUCUCACAUGGUCGCACACUGAAGCUAAGCAGUGCUACGCCUGGUCAAUACCUGGAUAGGAGACCACAUGGGAAAGCUAGGUUGCUGCUAGAG
ensembl:rRNA 5S_rRNA 5S ribosomal RNA